CAGCCGCCGCGGUAAUACAGAGGGUGCAAGCGUUAAUCGGAAUUACUGGGCGUAAAGCGCGCGUAGGUGGUUUGUUAAGUUGGAUGUGAAAUCCCCGGGCUCAACCUGGGAACUGCAUUCAAAACUGACUGACUAGAGUAUGGUAGAGGGUGGUGGAAUUUCCUGUGUAGCGGUGAAAUGCGUAGAUAUAGGAAGGAACACCAGUGGCGAAGGCGACCACCUGGACUAAUACUGACACUGAGGUGCGAAAGCGUGGGGAGCAAACAGGAUUAGAUACCCCAGUAGUCCCUGUCUCUUAUAC
rnacentral:rRNA from 1 species